rnacentral:rRNA from 1 species
ACCGGCGAUUUCCGAAUGGGGAAACCCAGUGUGAUUCGUCACACUAUCAUUAACUGAAUCCAUAGGUUAAUGAGGCGAACCGGGGGAACUGAAACAUCUAAGUACCCCGAGGAAAAGAAAUCAACCGAGAUUCCCCCAGUAGCGGCGAGCGAACGGGGAGGAGCCCAGAGCCUGAAUCAGUGUGUGUGUUAGUGGAAGCGUCUGGAAAGGCGCGCGAUACAGGGUGACAGCCCCGUACACAAAAAUGCACAUACUGUGAGCUCGAUGAGUAGGGCGGGACACGUGGUAUCCUGUCUGAAUAUGGGGGGACCAUCCUCCAAGGCUAAAUACUCCUGACUGACCGAUAGUGAACCAGUACCGUGA